GAAUCAAUGGCACACUACUUUUACUUUUUGCAAGAUCACAAUGUGAUUGUAAGUCGAAAUGCCAUAUUCCUAGAAGAACAGUUUAUCCAGGAUGAUGGCAGUGGGAGGUUAGUUAAGGUUGAAGAGAAGGUCUAUAAAGAGGAAAGAGCUAUGGAUCCCUAGAAAUCCAUUAUUUAUGAGCUAGUAGUUGAUGUUCCUCUACCACCCCGU
rnacentral:lncRNA from 1 species